CCGUCAGCAGGAAGAGCACCUUGUUCUCCUUAUGAUGGGAGCCUGAGAGCGUUAGGAGUGGGAGACAGCUGCAUGUUUGGGGAAAGAGAAUACGCUUUUAUAUGUGGCAGCUCUCAGCAUCAUGGCUCUUUUUUAUUAACCACUUUCCUUUGUGCUGAGGACAGGAAAAAACACCCAGAAGGAGGCAGAAUUAUGAAAGGACGGGACUGAGCAUUUCAUAAGGCGGAAACCAACAGAAUCCAUGGGUUGAAGCCACAGGUCCAAUAAAAACCCCAGAAGCAAGUGCUACAGUAUUCAGGGGCUCAAAGACGUGACCCAUAAAUCAAGGAUUGAAAAUCUGGCUGAUCGCAGUGCAAGGUCAUAAAAUGAAGUGGCACCUUUGUGGUUCUUCACUCCCCAGAUGAAAAAAAAAAAAGCUGUUUCCAAGUCUAGGUUGAUAUUGACUUGAAAACCCUCAGAUAGUAACUGGAAAUUUCUGUCCAGAAUGUAUUCACUACUGCACAAGACCACCAAGAAUGGUUAUCUGUUCACCAGUCUGUGCACCCCUAAAGCAAAUAGCAAAAGUAUUUCUAGCUACGUUGUAAUUGUGAGUAAAGAACAUUGAAAAUACAGUAGCUGGCCAGGUCUUAAGAGAAGUAGGAGCAACAGAAGGUUUGGAAUAUGUUGGCGCUUUAUACAUUUUUGUAAUGUAUUAAAAAUAAUAAUGCUUAUAGCCAAGUAGCCCAAGAGCCUAUUUCCUUAGAGUGGCUAAUCAUUGCAG